UACGGAGGGUGCGAGCGUUAAUCGGAAUUACUGGGCGUAAAGCGCAUGCAGGUGGUUUGUUAAGUCAGAUGUGAAAGCCCGGGGCUCAACCUCCGGAAUUGCAUUUGAAACUGGCAAACUAGAGUACUGUAGAGGGGGUAGAAUUUCAGGUGUAGCGGUGAAAUGCGUAGAGAUCUGAAGGAAUACCGGUGGCGAAGGCGGCCCCCUGGACAGAUACUGACACUCAGAUGCGAAAGCGUGGGGAGCAAACAGGAUUAGAUACCCUGGUAG
rnacentral:rRNA from 1 species